rnacentral:rRNA from 1 species
AACGAACGCUGGCGGCAUGCCUAACACAUGCAAGUCGAACGAACCCUUCGGGGUUAGUGGCGCACGGGUGCGUAACGCGUGGGAAUCUGCCCUUUGCUUCGGAAUAACAGUUAGAAAUGACUGCUAAUACCGGAUGAUGUCUUCGGACCAAAGAUCUAUCGGCAAGGGAUGAGCCCGCGUAGGAUUAGGUAGUUGGUGGGGUAAAGGCCUACCAAGCCGACGAUCCUUAGCUGGUCUGAGAGGAUGAUCAGCCACACUGGGACUGAGACACGGCCCAGACUCCUACGGGAGGCAGCAGUGGGGAAUAUUGGACAAUGGGCGCAAGCCUGAUCCGGCAAUGCCGCGUGAGUGAUGAAGGCCUUCGGGUCGUAAAGCUCUUUUACCAGGGAUGAUAAUGACAGUACCUGGAGAAUAAGCUCCGGCUAACUCCGUGCCAGCAGCCGCCGUAACAC